ACCUUCCCAUUGGAGGAGGAUGCCACUUCUUAUGGAACUCAUUUUUCCUGAAGAUACUCAGCGCUGGCUGAUUUAGGAUAAAAACCAUUAGCAUGUUACUAUUAAAAGAAAAAACCACCCUACAAAGCUGCAAUCUCUCAGAGGGAAGCGGACGGCGCUUAUAAGCAAUAAGUGCCUGGUUCUGGUAGCUGUUUUGUCAGCAUCAUCUUAUUAGCGGACUGUAUGCUCCCUGCAGCAUCAAUUAAGCACUUUUUAAGGGAGCGGGAAAUGCAGGAGGGCUCAUCUGCUAAGCACGGCUGUAUACUCCACAACCCCUUAAUCAGCGCGGCUCCUUUCUUAACAAGGUUCUAGAAUGCAAGCACAUCCAGGGACCAUUAAGGAGCACACAAGCAGAACAUCCCUGGGAGUCGCCAGUAUUGGAUACAACUUUCCCUCAAAGAACCAGCCCGAGACUGAAGGCAGCAGAGCCGCACCACAUCUGCCCAUUUAUGCCUCAGCGCAGGGCGCUUGCAGAGCGGAGGCCCACCCCAUCCCCAUCAGGGACUCCGCCUGACUUCCGAGGGCCCCCGGCCGAAUCCAGGCGUCCGGAGAGGGCCUGUGUCUCAGGCGGCCCCAGCUAGGGAGAAAGUGAGGACACGGAAGGUUUGCCCUCUCAUCCUCAAUCCGCCUAAAGUGAAAUGCUAAUGCACAAGAAAAUACGUGCCAAUUUCCUCCACUUUGCUCCAAGUUUCAGAGGCCCCUCCGCAAUAAAAGAUAGCUGUUUGUGGAGGCUGCCUUGUUCCAUACCAUUAACUCAGAACAAAACAUAUUUUUAGUGGGACAGCGGUGUUUACUUGUAAGAACUGAUGAAUUGUUCGGCACCAUUUAUCACUUACAGACAAAGACAUUCAGCCACAAUUUUGGACAUAAAUCAAGGUGCAUGCUCCUCAAUAAAAAAAAGAGAAAGAAAAAGAAAGGAAGGAAAGAAAGAAAGAAAGAAAGAAAGAAAGAAAGAAAGAAAGAAAGAAAAAAGACUGCCUAAGUCCCCAAAACCACAGAGAUUGAGGUCAGACUGGCCAUAGCAACCAAGAACAGGACUUGGGUCUCCAGAAGGACCUAGCAACCGAUAAAUGAGUUCAGAUCUCUUUUCAUCUCCACUGGUGUGAAAGCCAAAAUUAAAAAGAUUAGAUCACCCUGCACCCAUUACAAAAGGCGCCACAAUGAAAAAGUCAUUUCCAGCCUUUGAAUCACAUCAAAUAAAUAACAUUCAUCCUUGCUAUAAUGAACAACUUUCAAAGUAAAUUGAAUCUCCAUAGUACUGCUUUCCCCGGCUGCACAGUAUUUACAUAACAAUAUAUCACAGGAAGCUCAGAAUGGGUCUUGUAAAUGGGGAACUCAGAUAAAAAGCAUCUUUAGCCCCGAUUACUGUAUACUCAGACUGCUUUUCAGUCCCCUUCAUUUAAACAAUGUGUUGUAUCAAGAACAUAAACAAUGUUUUUAAAUUGUGGGAAAUGAAAGUUUUCAGUACAUUUUUAAAUGUCUGGACUCACCCCUUCUGUGGGGCACUGAGAAUGUAGAAAUCACUUAACCUCCUAAAUCCAUGCCCGGGAUUCAUUUUUGUGACAAAGAAUUCUCAUCUAUGGGUACACUUGCUUCUUUGUUCGUGCCAGCAGUUUUUCACCCUAAAAAUCUCCUGAAUUUUUAUAUAUUACUUAAGAUGAAAGCACACUCUUGCAUAUUUUUUAGCAUGUGGUUCAUUCAUUAUUUGUCAUUUCCUCGAAAGUGUAAGGUAUUCUCCACUGCCAGAACAAUUAUGUCUAUCAAGUUUUAGCAAUGCCUCCACACAAUCUAUUCCUCUUCUAUAGCUAGUUUUGACAAAAUGUCUCCAGGUCAUUAAAAAAAAAAAUGUAAGGACUAAUAUCCCCCAAUACUUAGGUUUCCAUAAACUAUUGUACAAUUCAUACAUUUCAAAUGGAGUAUGUUCCAUUAAGACAGUUAAAUCCACCUUAAACAUAUACCAGCUAUAUCUUAUCUUUUUUGUGUCAGCUCACGUAGACAUUACUAUUUGAACUCCACAGGGAAUCUCAUUAAUUUUUAAAACUCUCUGACCUCAGUACAGUUGAGUAUAAAAAUAAUUUCAAAUUAAGAAUGAAAGAGCAUCACUUGAAUUCUACACGGCCAUAUGCUCUACAUUGCACAAAACAUUGCUAACUAUCAUCAAACAGAAUUUUUUCCAGAUACAAAUUUAAACAGCAUGAUAAAUGUCAGCAGACAGACAUAAAAAGCAGCUCACCCAUCCGCCCAGCCCUGCUCACGCCUCACCUCCAACGAUUCUCGUAACACAAAGCCCUGAGAACACAGGUUUGCAGGCAAGUGACAGCACAGAUGAUACCCUCGCGAAAAUAUUUUCCUACUGAGACUCGCUUUCUAUCUCAACGUCUCUCUCAGCCACAAGCGUGCAAAAAUGCAAGAAUCGGGGCGUACACGUUUUCUUACCUAAAACUUGUCCAAAGGGCGGUCCUUGGGUCCUUGUCAUUGUUGUCACCUCCGGUGCCCCCUCUCGCCAUCCUGGAAAUUGGCUUCACUGUGUUUAUCAUUCUGUGCCUCAGUUACAGCUGUGGCACUCAUCUGCCUGCAUAGAACCUAUGAGGGGAAAUAAGGGAGGGAGAGAGAGAGGAAGAGUAAGAGAGAGGGAGGGAGUGGAUGUGUGUGUGUGCUUGUGUGUGUGUGUGUAUGUGUGUGUGUGUGAGAGAGAGAGAGAGAGAGAGACGGAGAGGGAGAGAGAGACUGCUGACUUGAGACUAAGAACCUAAAACCUCCGGCCACGACAAGCCUGAAUAAAAAUGAUCAAAGCUCUGUCCUUCAUCAAGAGAGUAGACAGAUAUUUUUUUUCUCCUCCACUGAAAAGUGGAACUGUCAUUGGGGAUUCUCACCAGGAAAGCGCAGACAGAGGCAGACCUUCUCCAGAGUGUCAGUGCUGCCCAGCAGUCCGUGCAGAAUACAGGUACCUAUUGUUCCAGAGACAGAUAUGUAGCCAGCCAGUCAGACUCUGACAGAUCUCAGCAAACCAGUGAGCCUGCCUUCAUUUUAACUCCUUAUUUACUAGCGCUUUUUGGUCAAAUGCAAAAGGUCUUCUCACCACCCAGGAGAAAUAAAUGGAGAUGAUGCAGAUGAACUCAUGGCAGGAAGUAAUGCUGUAUCUUUUUACAAAGAGGGACUUUUCACUACUGUUAUUGAAAUGCUGAAUUUGAUGCAAAUAUCUUAUUUUGUUGGGAGGAAAUGAAACAUUAGAUUAAACCAGGACGACCUAGCCAGUAGAAGAAAAUCUUGACAUCCAAGAUGAAUAAUAGCACAGCCAAUUUUCAAAGGAAGGCAAAAACUGGGGUUAUUCACAGCACCCUGAAUAUAAAUAUAUAUACUUCAGAACAUGAGUGGUGUUACCUUAGCCAAAAGGUUCCAACCUUUUGCACAGGGGUGUGGCACAUUGAAUACAUCCCGCUCAAAAAGCUAACCUGGUAGACCUCUGUUUUCCUAGGGGCUGGAGGGUUUUGAACUCUCUCUUUCUAGACUUCACUGCUUUCUCAAACACCCCCCCCAAAAAAACCAUCUGCCUUCCCCAAACCUCACCAGUAUUUAAAUUAUUAGUAUUUAAAUUAUGUCUAAGGCAGUAACACAAAAUUAAGGGAGCUCAGAGAAAAAUAACUUGUUCUAAAUUUCCCCUGAUGAAUUCUGAGAUCCAGAGGGUAUAUUUGAUUGUUUAAAUUCUUGGACCUUCCUGGAUUACAGUGGGUUUCUAAUUUUCACCUUUGUGUAUUAAUGAACUAAUUUUCUCCUAAGGAGUGGUAGAAGGCAAAAUGCUUUGCAUCUGAUUGUUUGGAACUAUUAGAAGGCAGAGCAUAGAAAAACAAAAGAAAAAGAAAAAAAAAGAAAAAGUAGUUUCUCAUUGAAUUAAAAUAAGAGAUGGACUUAUUCUCCACCCCCCCCCACCCCGCAAAAGACUCAAUAUACAAGAACUUUAGACUUUUUUUCUAGAAUGAACGCCAAUUUCAUUAAUUGUUACCAUAUAACCAAGAAACGUGGUGCAUAUUCUGAUUUUGUAGGUGUGCUGCAGAGUCUAUAAAAUGGUUAUGAAAUUCCUUUGUAAAACCCACACUCAAGCAUCACUUUACAAAGCCAGAGGGUAAAUGCUCUGCGCAAUAGGGGGAGGUUUAACUAUGCAUGGCUGUUACUAGUAAUGAGAUAUGCAGUUUAUGUCUAUGCAUUGCCCAAUUGUUUCUUCUAAAUAUGUAGGGUUUGUUUUAUUUAUUAAAAAAUAAAAUCCUAAUCAGAGAUUGCAUCAUGAUGUUUCAAAACUCCAUUUAAAAAAAGAAAGAAAAAAGACUUAGAAAAAACAGUUCCCUCCUUUUUCUUGCCCUAAAUCCCAGAAUUCUGAAAUCAGUUCAAGUCAUGCCAAUUUAAAAAGAACUCUGUGCAAUUAAUAUAGGCUUUAGAAACUCUUUUAGAAGUUAAAAUUGCCUGAUUCAGUGACUUCUGAAAGUCUACUUUGUGUUUUGUACUCAGGGCGAGCUGCUAUUAUGUUCAGAAGGGAAAGGAUGUCAAAUGACUACCCAAACAGGGAAAAAAGUAUCCAAGGUUUCUUAUGAAGCUCACCUUUACCUAUGACCAGCAACAAGGCAAGAAAUCUUGUAGCUUGUUUUUUUCUAAGUGGAUAAACGGAUUUUUUUUCAAAUCUAUUUUAAAGAACAUGCAUAUCUUUGUAAGCUUAAGGGAUAACCUAAUUUAUCAUGACUAUCUGAAUAGCAAAAUAGCGGAAGCCCAUUCAGUGAAAGAAAGGAGGAUGGAUUAUGGGUCCACAUAUAGAACGAGCUGGAUCACAGCAGAGGUGACAGCUCCCAGGCAAGGCCCCCAUGACUGCCUCUAAGGCUUCAGUUUAAAAGAAGCAUCUAAGCUCUCACUCCUGAGCAUGUGAUAAGACUUAGGUGUAAGUACAUUUAAUUAGAGCAUUACCCAGGCCCCAUCCAGAUGUCAUUAUCUCUUACAGUGUUUUUUUUUUUUCCUUUGAUCUUUCUGUCCAACUUCUGUUGUCUUCAGAAAACCAAGCUUAGUGUGCCAAACAGAUUUUAAAUAUUCAGCUCUUAACAUGUCUGAAUACAGACAGUUCUCACAGUCGGGGUCCAUUAUUUUCUGGAGGCAUAUGAAGAGGGUUAUCAACAUUAAUGAGACUCAUGUGCACAUGUAAAUAAAAAACAGAGGAUACACUCCAGCAAAGUGUGUGUGUGUGUGUGUGUGUGUGCAUGUGUGCAUGUGUGUGUGUGUGUGUGUGUGUGUGUGAGCAUGUGUGUGUAUGGAUACUGGUAUCUGUAUAAGGUAUACAUUUUUUUGUUGUUGUCUCAUGAAUUAGAGGAAAAGAUCAUUUUUUUUCUCAACAAACUUUGUUUUUGUGACAUCCCUACCAGGAUGUCUUUGUCCCUAGAAUGCCCCUGAAGCCUAUUACACAGUCCAAGUUUAUAGUUCACACUUCAGUCCCCAAUUUGCCAAAUAAUUCAUGUCAAGCAGAAGUCCAAGAUAAAGUGCCAACUAUUUCUUGAAAGAAAAAAAAACUGUUUCAUGUGCUAGGUUUUUAAGGAAUAAACACAUGAGGUUAGGGGCACCACUCAUUAAUAGUAGCAAGGGGGAGGCUAAUCCCCCUGGUACUCCGCUGGGCAUUUAUCUCUUUUCAUCUACAACGCUUGAACUGAGGGAUGUGAAGCUAGAUUUUCCAGGAGAAAUGUGAAAGGAAAACAGAACAGCUUCUUUAUAUUAAAGAAUAUUCCAAUUUUUAUAAUUCCCCCCCCAGGCCUUGCUAGAGACACCUACAGUUACUCAUUCACACAAUAAACCUCACACUGUUAAAACUUCUAAGAGACACUCCGGGAACAUUGCAGGUAACCCGAUUCCAGUAAAGUUAAAAAUAGUCUCUGCACAAAAUUAAACAUUAUCUAAGUUCUCCACACAGUUAUUAAAUACAUAGAAGAUCACCUGUGUGUAUGAUCUAUAAAUGCCUUCGGUUACAUAUUAAAAUUCUAAUUAAAACUUUUUGUCUUAUCUCAGUUGGCCAAUUUGAGAUCAGAAAGUAAAUUUCAGAGUGAAAGCUCAUAUGCAAUUGAGAUUUCUGAUGGUUGCAAAGUUGGAAGUGAAUGGCAGCGUUACAAAGUAUUUCUAACGGAAAGAAAAUAAUACCAAACUACGAACAACUUCCAAGACCCCCUUUAGACCACGGGUAUUCAGUGUCAUGAAGGCAUUCCCUGGUGACUUAUCCCACAGAACCUGACUUUCUUGAGAGCUGGAGAGAGACAGACAUGAGAGGUGAAAUUUCUGUGGGGUGUGAGUAAAAUAUUAACCAUGAUUACAUUCCAACCUGAAACCUUAAAAAUGUGAUUGUGAAAACUGGGUAAUUAGAAAAUAUAUCAUAAAAUAUAAGAGCUAAAGGUUUCAAUAUUUAAGAUCCAGCAUGGGGUAAAGGCUAGUUGGGUUUAAUCCACUAAAUUAAACACUACUUCUGAGAGCACUGCUCAGAAAAGGCAACGAAAAUGUAACGGAAAGGAUCAGGGACUACUUUAUGUCACCCAAACACCUGCAAUAUUUAAUGUUUAGCCAUUGGAUAAUUAACGGAGGGAAAGACGCACACUGAUCCCUAACAAGCCCCUCACUGCAGUACAAUAAUGUAUAUACUUCACAGAGUCCACCUGACCAACUUACUGACAUACAGUUUAAACUAAUUAAAUAUUUGAUUUCAGAAAAACUCAAUGAAAUAUUUUACUCUUCAGUUAGUAAGCCGUCAGAUAUUUUGAGGUAAUAGUGAAGUAUUUUGCCUUCCUUAGUUUACAAUAGCUGCUGGAAGUUAACUCUGAGAGCCCACAGAGAACAGAAUGUUACUAUUUUGCAUAGUAACAAAGGAUAAGAAUUUGCAUUGUCGCACGUGUAAGUGAAACAAUGUGUUCUCCAUGUUUCCAUAAAUGUCCUCCUAAGUGGUCUCAGACUUAAGCACAAUGAAAAAAAAAAAAAAGUAAUAUGGAGCUGAUUGAUGAGAGUUGAUACUCAACACAAAAGCAUUUCAUAGAAGUUGGGAAACUCCCAGAAGGGAAUUAUGGAGAAAAGUUGGUAAAGAUUUCCCUGUACAGCAUUUAAAAAAAAAAAUCACAGAAUAUUCCAGGAUAUGACCAUUUCCUUCAAGAAUUACAAUUUGAAAGUUUUUGUUAACAGACAUAUGUUGUCCUGUAUCCCAUCCUUUGAGUGAGUUAGGAUGUACCUGUCUUCUCCUACAGUGGUUUCCAGGCUUCACAGGGACUGGGAGAGUGGCCUGAUCCAUGAGAAAAGUCAGGAUAAAACAUGAUUUAUUAAUAUAGCAAAGUCAUUAUAAUCCUGAGCUAAAAUGUUAGUGGACCUUUCCCUAGCUACUGCUGUUUAAGAAAGACUUUAAAAACCAAUUUAAUUUCCUUCCACCCAGUCAAGUUUUCUCCACAGAUAAUUGGUUUUCAUUAUAUGCACAAAAAGCAUCAGUGUAGUCAAUAUGUAUGAGGCAUUUAAAUAUUUUCAAAUGAAAGUAUGCAUGUACUUAUGUUUGGGUACCCAAACACAUACUUCCAUUUGAUUCUGUAUCAUUGACCAUUAACAUUCUCCUAAUAUGAGACUGUAAAGGUUACACAAACAGCUGAGUUAGUCAUUAGUGGUAGUAGAAGUUCAAUAAAGUUAGUCAUAGUCUUUCAUUUUAAACAAGUAUAUCACUAUAAAGUAAUGUCUUCUCCCUGCUAAUUGUGCUGAAUUUUUGCAUGCUCACAACCAAAAUACUUGUGUUUUCAUUUUCAAAACCUUAAUCAUUUCACUGGGGGGGAGAAAAAAACACUAAUUUUGUCCUAAUCAUCAUUUACACAACAGCCCUUUUAGGAUUUAUAGAACUUGUCUCAGUAUAUUAUUAUCAUCAAAAGUGUGUUUGAGAUGCUAGUGCAGAAUCACUAAUUGUUCAUAAGUACCUUGAAACAUUAGAUUAGCAAUGUUUAUAAUUGUCUAAAUACAGCAUGACGACAGGAAAUCAAUUACCAUGCACAUCAGUCUUUGACAUUUCAAUGCAUUGUAACUGUGGUAAAGUUGCCAUAAACUAACUAACUAACUAACUAACUAACUAACUAACUAACUAAAUAACUAAAUAAAUAAAUAAAAGCCAUAGUUUCUAUUGCCUGAAAACCUAACUAAUGAAGCAGUAUUCACUUGUAAACACCGGAGAAAUAAGCAUAGUAGCAUAUGCAAUGCUGAAACUGGUCUACUUACUUGAAUAUUCGUCUUCCUCUCAGUCAAGACUAUUACUGAAUUUGCAGACUUUUGUGUUUGAGAAUUUUUCAGCGUCCUCUUGACCUCAUCGUCCCUCCUCCACAGGUGACCUAUUAUCAAAUAAAAAGCUUCCUAUUUAAACAACCAUACAACUAUCUUUUGAGAGUCACUUAACUUCUGAGAACUGUCGAGACACCCUGAAACUUCCUCCAUGACACAGGUGUCUGUUGCUGUCCGCCCGUCAGAUCAGAUUCAUC
rnacentral:lncRNA from 1 species